rnacentral:rRNA from 1 species
UACGUAGGUGGCAAGCGUUGUCCGGAAUUAUUGGGCGUAAAGCGUGCGCAGGCGGUUUUGUAAGUCAGAUGUGAAAUCCCCGAGCUCAACUUGGGAACUGCGUUUGAAACUACAAGACUAGAAUAUGUCAGAGGGGGGUAGAAUUCCACGUGUAGCAGUGAAAUGCGUAGAGAUGUGGAGGAAUACCAAUGGCGAAGGCAGCCCCCCUGGGAUAAUAUUGACGCUCAUGCACGAAAGCGUGGGGAGCAAACAGG